UACGUAGGUUGCAAGCGUUAAUCGGAAUUACUGGGCGUAAAGCGUGCGCAGGCGGUUUUGCCAGUCUGUCGUGAAAUCCCCGGGCUUAACCUGGGAAUGGCGAUGGAGACUGCAAGGCUAGAGUUUGGCAGAGGGGGGUAGAAUUCCACGUGUAGCAGUGAAAUGCGUAGAGAUGUGGAGGAACACCGAUGGCGAAGGCAGCCCCCUGGGCCAAUACUGACGCUCAUGCACGAAAGCGUGGGGAGCAAACAGG
rnacentral:rRNA from 1 species